rnacentral:tRNA from 1 species
GUUUCACUCAAAAACCGCCACCCACAGGCGUUCACCGUCCGUGCGGGGCCCUGGGACAGCUGUGGGGCGACUGCCCCGUGUGAGGCACACCCGGCUCCCCCUGCACGGCCGGUACGAGGCGGGUUUGGUCCCGCGGCGCUUUUUGUUCCGGGGAAACGGGGGAAAAAAAAAAGUACUAUCCGCCUUUGCCCCGUGUGAGGAUCGAACUCACGACCUUCAGAUUAUGAGACUGACGCGCUACCUACUGCGCUAACGAGGCGGCUGGAAGGAACUUCGCCGCUCUGCUAUUGGGGGCUGUCCUGGGGAGGCGGAGGGACGGGAGGGGCCGGUCCAUGGGGACCCUGUGGGACCCUGCGGUGGCCAUAAGGGACCCCGCGGUGACCGAAUAAAGGCCUGUGAGGCUUUGUGGUGGCCGUGUGGGGCCUGUUGGUGACAGUCAGGGCCCUUGUGGUAGCCGUGUAUGUCACCAGUGUGACCGUGUGGGGCCCCGAGGGGACUGUGUGGGGCCCCUAAGUGACCGUGUGGGACCCCGAGCUGCGGGCGGAUGUCGGGGGCGGGGGGAGGGCAGGGGACGGUUCCCAAAAUCACAUCACGAGCUGCGCCGCUCCGGCCACCACCUCCACCACCUCUCCUCUGGCUCCCGAGGCAUCUGACACAGACUCUGGGGACACAGACACAGAAUCUGGGAAUCUACCCUGGAAAAAACAGGUCUGUGCUCCUCUGAAGAGCCCUGAAGACGCCCGUGCUCCUGAGCGUGUUGGUAAGAGUGACAGGAGUCCUUCCCAGCUCAGACGUGCCCUUAGCAGCCCAGGAGAGACCAGGCUGCUGCAUCUGCUCCACCCUGCUCUGCCUAUGGCCACCUCCGGAGCCAUGGCACGUUGGUGCACGGAUGCAGCGUGGAGCAGAGCUAUGCAGCCCGAUGGUAAACCCUACCUGCGUGAUAAAAGUGUGUCACACGUGCCUCUGCGUAAAAGCAUGCACACAAGUAUUUAUGGAAUACCUCAGGCACGGUGCCUUCACACCCUGCCUCACCUCACCCCCGUGCAGUCAUACCAGUCGGCCUGGCUCCCAGAGGCACUGCGCCUCUCACCCCGCUGCGAACCUGCGCCUCCGUCCUGCUAAUGACACAGCAGCCGGGCUGCCACGGUGACAACGUGACUCCAGAAGCUGCUGCCUUUAAAAAAAAAAAAAAAAAAAAAAAAAAAAGGAAAGGAAACCAAACAAACAGCACUAAAUGUGCACAAUCAAAUGAUGAGUGUUUGUAUUGCUGAUGCUUUGAGGCCAGCUCACAACCCUCCCUCCACAUAAUGCUCAGGAUGUUUGGGAAGGGGUAUUUUUCUUUUAAUAGGGCAGCGUAGUCACAAAGCUUUAAAGAAAUAAAUGAGUGAAUCGUCUAUGGUAAUAGCA